ensembl:lncRNA
GAAAUCUGAGCUUCAUCAGAACAGUCAGACAGGACUGGAGAAAAAUGUCCCUUUCCUGACAUCAAAGAAUCAGGUCUGCACAGACAAAUUCCACAGCAACAUCUGAUGAUAAGACCAGACUGUAGUAGCAGAGACAUGUUUCAGUGAUAUUUACAAUACGUCCCCUCUGGGCCAACCAACAAGCAAUUUUUUUUUUUUUUAGAACAAUAAAUAUUGGCAAUUUUUGUGCUCCAUUUAAAGAUAAUUUUAGCUCUUCAGUGUCAUGCAAAUACUCAGGGCUCUUCUCAGAUGAAACUGCUAUCAAGGCACUGGGAGCUCUGCCAGGAAAAGAGCAAACAAGUCUCCAUAGAGAAGUUCAUCUUGAGAAAGACUUCUAUCGUGUAAAAUAGUGCAUUGUAUUCAUCUUUAAAAAACCAAUGACAAAGUGUUUUUAAAAGUAAAAAAGAAAAGGCACUAAAACCUAUUGGUUUCUGAAAGUUUCUAGAUUCCCCUAUAUCCACCAAAAUUUAUGUACAUUUACAUUAAAAUUAGGCAUCAUUCAGCUGCUGUUAGACCAGCUGAAGGCAUCCCCACAGGCUCCCCAGUGUGUCAGAUAAGGAUCUUCCUAUCUCUCCUGCCACUGGACCACUUCUAGGUGGUGUGGCCUGAGGGGAAAGGACAACUGUGGUUGGCAGACCAUUUCCAGUAUCUCUUUGGAAAAGGUUUUGGUUCAUCGGAAGGGAACAGAGGGCGAAGCUACAUAAGCUUCUUAACCUUUGACCAAUAAAAUAAAGUACUUCUGUGCUCUAAAUGCCAAACUUGUCACUGUUCAAUACAGCAGACACUGAGAUACAAACAACACUGCAAAUCAGGAGCUGGAUAGGGGUAUAUACAGCAAGACCAUUUGCCACUGCAUUAGAUAACCUUGACAUAAUCACACUAUAAAAACUCCUGCUUCCUGAUACACACACACAACUGAAGUUAGGAGUAUCUUCUGCACUGGAAGGAUGCUACAGCAUUGCCAAACGAGUGGUUUCCUUGCCUGUAAAACAAGUGACACUUUGCACUGUUGGAAGAAGACUGUUGGAAAAGAUGGUUCUGCAGACUGACCAAAAUCAGCAAACAGAUUCAAAAGAAAGGAGAGGGAAAACUUUUGUUAUGGACUUAAUGAGAAGAACUGCUAACUUGGUCUUGAAGUAUUUCCGACGGCAAAUACACCCCGUCUGUACCACAGCGGAAAAGGCUCUUCACAGACCCUGCUAAACUUAACCUCUCCUCUAUGAUGGAACAGUUGCCUUGCUUUGCUCAAAUACCACCAGAUAAAGCAAACAGCCAUUAGAACCGUUCCUUAAUUACAGCAUAAUUCAGGGGGAUCUUGGCAGAUGAAAAUGAUGUAAAUAUGAGAUUAUAUUAUCUAGUAUUGUUAUUGCAAUUUUAUGGUCCUGUCUGUACACAGUGUCUUAAAGCUUUGCAAGCCCUUUUCUUGUUUGGCUUUCACUGCCUUCAGGAGUCAUGCUAAAUUUAUAAUCCCUUUCAUUAGCUUCUUUUUCUAUCUCUUUACUUGAAGAUCUGGCAUGCAAUGAAUCAAAGGAGGGAUAUUUAUACCCAUACUGUGAGAAUGUUUACAAUACACAGAAAAUUCUGUCUGUGGCUUUGUCUUUGUGUAUUUUCAGAAUAAAUGACAGUUUU